UCCUGACACUCUGCACAUGGACUAGAGACACAGGUCCUCUGACACACUGCACGUGGAUUAGACACAGGUCCUGACACACUGCACGUGGACUAGAGACACAGGUCCUGACACUCUGCACAUGGACUAGAGACACAGGUCCUCUGACACACUGCACGUGGAUUAGACACAGGUCCUGACACACUGCACGUGGGAAUGCACACUGCUGUACACUACGGGCAGGAGCUGGAGGACACCUACUCACACUACUCUGGCAUUUACUUUUGGCCCAGCAAUCCUGCUGCACAACUCCACCUGGAACCUACAGUGACCACAGUAAGGAAACACAUGUGUCUUCAAGACGUGCUUUGCAACACAGUUUGGAAUGCAAGAUGUUAAUGCACAGACACAGGAAACUGGUGAAUAAAAAAAAGAAAAACCACAAUAUGUCCACACAAUGCAAUCCUUUAAGGAUGUAAAUCAGAACGAGGGAGAUCUCAACAAACCGAAAUGAUUUGUAGGAUACUCUGUAAACAAAAUAAAAAGCUGUGGGGAGUGCAAAAGACUACUUUUUGUUCAAAAAGAAAACAAGACGUAAAACAUAUAUACAUAUAGAUAUAAAAUGAGCUCCUCAGUUUUACAAAAAGCAGCAAAAUGAAUCAGUUGGAAAUGGAUGAAACUGGCUAGUUUUUGGAGUAUGAAAAUGGAGCAGGGGGUAGAAGCAAGGUAACAAUACUAAGUUAGGUACUGGGCAGGACCUGGGAACAGGAAAAUGCUUUUCAUAACUCUGAUUUUUAAAGCCAGGCCAGUAUUUUGCAUACCGAAGUAAAUAAAUAAGUCCAAUAAGGACAGAAGGAGGAAAAUGAGAUGGGAUAGAAAUAGAGGCCUACUUGUGUUUCCCAUGAAUGACACACUGAAACACAAGGGAGAAGGAAAACGAGCCCAGGUGGCUCAAGGAACUUUGGAACGCAGUAUUCUGACUAUGUACCCCAAGGCAAAAUCAGAAAGAACUGCAAUGAAUCCUGAACUCGGCUUAGCAGAUUGUUUCAACAUGACGCUCAUUCUGUGAUUGAGAAAAUAAGCAAAUACGAGACGGUGAUAGUCAUGCUUCUUACUGUUA